CGGGGUGUAGCUCAGCCUGGCAGAGUGCUUGGUUUGGGACCAAGAGGUCGCGCGUUCAAAUCGCGCCACCCCGACCA
rnacentral:tRNA from 1 species